UGAUCCUGGCUCAGGAUGAACGCUAGCGGCAGGCCUAACACAUGCAAGUCGAGGGGUAACAGGAAAGCUUGCUUUUGCUGACGACCGGCGCACGGGUGCGUAACGCGUAUGCAACCUACCUCAUACUGGAGAAUAGCCCCUGGAAACGGGGAUUAAUACUCCAUGGUAUCAUUCUUUCGCAUGUUAGAAUGAUUAAAGAAUUUCGGUAUGAGAUGGGCAUGCGUCCCAUUAGCUAGUUGGUGAGGUAACGGCUCACCAAGGCGACGAUGGGUAGGGGGCCUGAGAGGGUGGUCCCCCACACUGGUACUGAGACACGGACCAGACUCCUACGGGAGGCAGCAGUGAGGAAUAUUGGUCAAUGGAGGCAACUCUGAACCAGCCAUGCCGCGUGAAGGAUGACGGCCCUAUGGGUUGUAAACUUCUUUUGAAUAGGAAGAAACUUAUCUACGUGUAGAUAACUGACGGUACUAUUAGAAUAAGGAUCGGCUAACUCCGUGCCAGCAGCCGCGGUAAUACGGAGGAUCCAAGCGUUAUCCGGAUUCAUUGGGUUUAAAGGGUCCGUAGGCGGGUCUUUAAGUCAGUGGUGAAAGCCGACAGCUCAACUGUCGAACUGCCAUUGAUACUGGAGACCUUGAGUACAAAUGAAGUAGGCGGAAUGAGUCAUGUAGCGGUGAAAUGCAUAGAUAUGACUCAGAACACCGAUUGCGAAGGCAGCUUACUAACAUGUAACUGACGCUGAGGGACGAAAGCGUGGGGAGCGAACAGGAUUAGAUACCCUGGUAGU
rnacentral:rRNA from 1 species